GGCGGGAUAGCUCAGCAGGUAGAGCAGAGGCCUGAAAAGCCUUGUGUCCCCAGUUCAACUCUGGGUCCCGCCACCA
rnacentral:tRNA from 1 species